CAGCACAAAUGGUGUGCUCCUCAGCAAUCUUGCAGCUCCCACGAUUCAGGGAGCAGUGGGAAACCAGAGGCAGCUGUGGAAAAGCCUCUCGGCUGAGGUGAUGGAGCAUGCCCUGGUGGCAUAGCUGAACUCCUCCCUUCUGUGUGUUCUGUCUACAAUUGCAGAUCAAAGAACUGGUAGUAGCUUGUUUAGCAGCUAGUUUUUGCUAUUUUUCACUCCAUCCAACUUUCUAGAGCUCAGAGGGAGAUUUUCAAAGGCAUGAGGGCAUCGGAAACAGAAGAACCAGCUGAGACUCAAGUUUUAUGAUGGGGAGAGGCACUGAAGGAGAGAUGAAUUCCAGUAUGUUUUUGUUCUGAAUUAAAACAAAAAGUGACUUUUCAAACAUUUCCACUCAAAGGAAAAUGGGAAAAAUUUCAGUUCAGGAAAAUGUAAAAGUGUUUUGAGUUGAUGAAACCAUCAACAGCUGUCAUAACUUCUGACUCCUGGCUCUGCUGUGGCUCCCUCAAAUGCCCUGGGGAGCUUCUGUUCUGCUGGAAGCAGCUUGGGAAGUUCCCUGAAGAUAGGAGGGCUGCUCAGAUUGUAACUUCGAUGGCUGUCAGGCUUCAAACUGUGAAAGAAAAUCUGGAAGCCCUGGAUAUGCCAGCUAUGAUUAUUAGGGCUUCCAAGCCCUCUUCUGCUGGCUUGUGGACUUGCAAGUCCCGAAUGCUCUGGCAGUCAGCCUGCCAAGGUUGUUUUUCAUUGCCAAGUCUGAGAAGAUGGGUUUUCAGCAAUGAGUCAGAACUGUUUUACAAACAAAGAGCCUAAAGUUGCAAUGACAGUGGAUUGAUGGCCCUCUUUAUUCCUCCAAACAAGAAAGCUGAUCUGCCAUUGAUAUCCCUGAUGAUGCUUUUCUUUGCUAGACAAACAAAGACUUAAAGUUGCUAUGGAAAUACACAAAGCUCUCAGUUUAUGCAUUCAUCAAAAAAGGAUCAUCAUCAUCACAUAAUACUGAUUGCACACUGUCUUUCUCUAGGUAUUUGUUGCAAGAUCUAAUGUCAAAAUAAAGAAAAAGAGUGGGGUAUGCUAUUGUAUUAG
rnacentral:lncRNA from 1 species